rnacentral:rRNA from 1 species
UACAGAGGGUGCAAGCGUUAAUCGGAAUUACUGGGCGUAAAGCGCACGUAGGCGGUUUUUUAAGUCAGAUGUGAAAGCCCCGGGCUCAACCUGGGAAUUGCAUUUGAAACUGGGGAACUAGAGUGUGUGAGAGGGGGGUAGAAUUCCAAGUGUAGCGGUGAAAUGCGUAGAGAUUUGGAGGAAUACCAGUGGCGAAGGCGGCCCCCUGGCACACCACUGACGCUCAGGUGCGAAAGCGUGGGGAGCAAACAGG